AGCAGCUGAUAGCUCAGUCAGUAAAGCGUGAGACACUUAAAUAUCAGGGUCUUGGGUUCAAUCCCCACAUUGGGCAA